rnacentral:rRNA from 1 species
AACAGCUAGAGUUUGAUCCUGGCUCAGGACGAACGCUGGCGGCACGCUUAACACAUGCAAGUCGAACGGAGUUAAUUUUGGUUUACUGAGAUUAACUUAGUGGCGGACGGGUGAGUAACACGUGAGCAACCUGCCUCUGAGAAGGGGAUAGCUUCUGGAAACGGAUGGUAAUACCCUGUAACAUAUCGAAGCCGCAUGACUUUGAUAUCAAAGAUUUAUCGCUCAGAGAUGGGCUCGCGUCUGAUUAGAUAGUUGGUGAGGUAACGGCUCACCAAGUCGACGAUCAGUAGCCGGACUGAGAGGUUGAACGGCCACAUUGGGACUGAGACACGGCCCAGACUCCUACGGGAGGCAGCAGUGGGGAAUAUUGCACAAUGGGGGAAACCCUGAUGCAGCGAUGCCGCGUGGAGGAAGAAGGUUUUCGGAUUGUAAACUCCUGUCUUAAAGGACGAUAAUGACGGUACUUUAGGAGGAAGCUCCGGCUAACUACGUGCC